rnacentral:lncRNA from 7 species
CUUAAGCACAGGUGGGUUUUUUGCCUGCAGCAUCAGUUCAGCAGAGUGAAGCCUUUUGGCCGUCCAGUAAAUAUUACAAAAGCAGUGAUCCUCCUUAAAGGGCUGGUCUUGGCAAUCGUGUGUUAAUCAGGAUCAGAGGAUUCACAAAUGAAGCAUAUAUUCAUUUGUUUUUCUCCAAUUUUGAAGCCUAAUGCGACCAUGGCAAGUGAUAUGUAUGGAUUAGGAAGACUGCUGAUGUCUUGGAUCAAGGAGCCCACUCAGUCUUUGCACCAGUCCAGCAAGCACUGCUAUGAUUUGAGGAUUUCAUCUGUGCCUUUGCUGCUUCCACACUGGAUCAAUACUGUUUACACAGAAGCAGCAUUAUAGGUCCUCGGUGAAGAGAUUUGACCAAGUAAGGAGUUCUGUCUGGCAGACAAAGACUUGCCAACAUUUGUGGUGAAAUAAUCUGCUCUGUUUGGAGACUGCAGGAAAAAUCCUUUCUGUACAGCUGAGAAUUUCGCACUUCAUAACACUGCACAGUUGACCUGCAGAAUGAGAUCACCGUGGCUGUUAGCAGCUGAAGUGCUUCUUUGUGCCUGGUGACCUCUGUUUCCACGUGCCCAGCUCCCAGAAGAUCACCUUAAAAUAAGAGGGACCCUCAGCCACGUGCAGCACAGAAUGCAGCCAUGAUACCCACACAGAAACUGGCUUCUCCACGUGCACAGUGAAGGGUUUGGUAAUGAAGUUGCUUCCCUUUCCAGCUGUGUGGCUGGAAGGGGAUUUUCCAAAGAGAUGUUCAAAGACUUUCAGGUACCUGACCCUGAGUGACUUCUCCCUGACGCAGUGCUGCUCUUUCCUUCUUGAGGUGACUCUUCUGCUGCCUCUGAGCUGCUGAGCUGCUAGGACAGCUGGUUUUUGACACAGUGUCUGAACCUGUUCUCAGGAUGGAGAAAGUCUGCUGCUGGCACGCUGUCAGGGCACAGCACGUUUCGGAAUGGGUUGUUUGCUGCUCAGAAGCACAAAUGAGGACAUCCUGGGAGAGGCUGUGAGAGCACCCUGUUUGCUCGUGCUGUUUACUUUUGUAAAGUUCCUUCCCAUAACUUUUUCCAUCCUUGAUCAUUCUUAGAGAGCUGGUCCUGUGACAGGGCAAGCAACGAUGACAUCAGCUACAGACCAGAUUUGUAGCUGCAGUUCUUUGUGCUGUUGUGAGCUGUGUUGAAAACAUAAUGAAUAAGAAGGGUCUCAGGUUCCCCAACAGUUCACAAAUAGAUGUUUUCUUGGGCUUUAAAGGAUUGGACUUCUAGAAACUUUGUGAGCCAAGAUAGGGAAUUUUGUAUGUUUUAGAUCUGUAGUCAUGGAAAGCAAUAGCGUUAGACAAAAAAUAUCUGCAAAAGAGAUGCAUUGUUCAUUCUAAAUUACACCCAGCUUUCUUAGGAAAGCAAAUUAAAUCACACUUAACCAAAGAAUACAGAUAACAGUAUUAAGUACAACAGGACAUUUUAAUUACUAAGUAAAACAAAUGUACGUGUCUGUAACUGUAAUUAAAGUAGUGUUGUAUUUGCUGUGCAUUAAAGUGACUUGCGUGUCU